CGAAUUAAUACCGCAUAUGAUCAGGGAAGACAUCUUUCUAACAUCAAAGCCGGGGCAACCUGGCGCUUCUUGAUGACCCCGCGGCCUAUCAGCUAGUUGGUGAGGUAACGGCCCACCAAGGCUAUGACGGGUAGCUGGUCUGAGAGGACGACCAGUCACACUGGAACUGAGACACGGUCCAGACACCUACGGGUGGCAGCAGUCGAGAAUUUUUCUCAAUGGGGGCAACCCUGAAGGAGCGACGCCGCGUGGAGGAUGAAGGCUUUCGGGUUGUAAACUCCUGUCAUUUGAGAACAAGUGCCAACAAGUAACUGCUGUUGGCUUGAUAGUAUCAGAAGAGGAAGGGACGGCUAACUCUGUGCCAGCAGCCGCGGUAAUACAGAGGUCCCAAGCGUUGUUCGGAUUCAUUGGGCGUAAAGGGUGCGUAGGUGGCGGGGUAAGUCAGGUGUGAAAUUUCGGAGCUCAACUCCGAAACUGCAUUCGAUACUGCCUUGCUUGAGGACUGGAGAGGAGACUGGAAUUUACGGUGUAGCAGUGAAAUGCGUAGAGAUCGUAAGGAAGACCAGUGGCGAAGGCGGGUCUCUGGACAGUUCCUGACACUGAGGCACGAAGGCUAGGGGAGCAAACGGGAUUAGAUACCCCGGUAGUCCUAGCAGUAAACGGUGCACGUUUGGUGUGGGAGGAUUCGACCCCUUCCGCGCCGGAGCUAACGCGUUAAACGUGCCGCCUGGGGAGUACGGUCGCAAGAUUAAAACUCAAAGGAAUUGACGGAAUCGAAUU
rnacentral:rRNA from 1 species